rnacentral:rRNA from 1 species
UACGGGGGGGGCAAGCGUUGUUCGGAAUUACUGGGCGUAAAGGGCUCGUAGGCGGCCUGCUAAGUCAGACGUGAAAUCCCUCGGCUUAACCGGGGAACUGCGUCUGAUACUGGAUGGCUUGAGUUUGGGAGAGGGAUGCGGAAUUCCAGGUGUAGCGGUGAAAUGCGUAGAUAUCUGGAGGAACACCGGUGGCGAAGGCGGCAUCCUGGACCAACACUGACGCUGAGGAGCGAAAGCCAGGGGAGCAAACGGG